AUGCUAAUGAGUAAAAAAUAUUAUCAGAAAACAAUAAUUAACCUUGAGUAUAAAAGUAUUAACCAGAGGCAAUCAAUCACUUUCCCAGGCUUAGUACACACUUGGAAUGCAUUAACUGCUCCUAAAGGAAUAAUUAAAGAGCUUAGCUGCUCUGUUUCAGACACAAGUAACAAAGGGUCAGUCAAAAACUACAUGGAAAUCUGGCGAUUGAAGAUAACAUUAACCAAAUGGUUGACAUUAGAUGUUGCACUCAACGGAGCCAGACGCUCUCUGAUAGUGCUUUCUGAGGCUACCUUGAAAACCUACCCCACUAUCUGGACUGAUCCUACACCCGGGCAUGCUUCUCCCAGGGUAAAACCAAGUCUGCUGGAAGGAUAACUCCAAACUCCUGAGUUUGUGGUCUGGGUGGUAGAGUAUAUUCCUACCUGCCAGACAAGGCGAAGGAGAGUCAGCGAGCAAGCUGACUAAACAGAAAGAGGCCUUGUCUGGGGUUGGGGCAGGUAACAACUUUCGUUAGCUUCUGCGGAAUAUAUUUUGUUGUUUCUCAACAUUGGAUAGGAGUGGGGAUUGGGAGUGUGUAUUCCAUGAGACUUAUCAGCAUUUUCUUAUGAUGAGAAAACGAGAGAGACCUAGCCUGACAAUAGCCAGUGAUUGCAUUAUUUGGUGAACAUAUUUGGUAUAAUAAUGUAUAUUAUAAUAUAUAUAUUAUUUAGUAUAAUAAGAUGAUGUUUUGAUCUCCCACCCGUACUCACCUGUUUCUCCAGGUGCCCCAUCCUUGGUUUACUUCCUCUCAGACUGGUGCCAAUGGCUUCUAACAGCUGUGGCUACUGCAGCUGGAGGCAGGCCUGCUUGUCUGGGGUGGGGUCAUCUUCAGAAAUCCGUGGAGCCAUGGUCUCGCCCUCCCCAUCCUCCUUGUUCCCAGAGACUGGACAGUUUGCCACCAUCCAUUGGCCUAAUCCCCUGGGGGCCAGCCUGAGAAGCAGCGUGCACACACUUUUAUCCCAAAUACCCUUUCUCCACGUUGUCAACUUUCUUUUAUUUCAGGCUUCUCACAUCUCUUCUUUAGAUACCCAAGGGGCAAAAGACUUUGGAGAGGCAUCAGGUAGAGGGAAGAAGGCCACACUACACUGAUUAACAGGGUUUAAAUUAAAAAUAACAAACCACCAUCACCCAAGUGAACUUACAUUGAUAGGUCCUAUUUUAAAAAAAAAAUAUUGACCAUUCUUUCAAAGGGCACAUGAAGUAAAAAGGUUUUGAGGAUAGGAUAGGAACUAAUGUUUAUUGAUAUUCUACUCUGCACCAGAUAUUGCAUUAAGCUCUUGUGUAAUCACACCCUCUGGGGUACACGUUUUUACCUCCAGUUUAUAGGUGAGGAAACUGAGGCCUAGAGAGCACCAACACCUUGCCCUUGCUCUCUCAGAUAGUGAUUGAGAGAACUGGGAUUGAAACUCCGCUGGGCUUGGCUCCAAAACAAAGUCUCUUUCCACACCAUUAUGGUGUAGAGCUGCUGGACAGGAUGAUAUAUAGGGCAGGCCUGGCAAAAUAAAUGUUACAUUGUAAACA
rnacentral:lncRNA from 1 species